rnacentral:rRNA from 1 species
GAUGAACGCUGGCGGCGUGCUUAACACAUGCAAGUCGAACGAAGCACUUUAUUUGAUUUCCUUCGGGACUGAUUAUUUUGUGACUGAGUGGCGGACGGGUGAGUAACGCGUGGGUAACCUGCCUUGUACAGGGGGAUAACAGUUGGAAACGGCUGCUAAUACCGCAUAAGCGCACGGCAUCGCAUGAUGCAGUGUGAAAAACUCCGGUGGUAUAAGAUGGACCCGCGUUGGAUUAGCUAGUUGGUGAGGUAACGGCCCACCAAGGCGACGAUCCAUAGCCGAACUGAGAGGGUGACCGGCCACAUUGGGACUGAGACACGGCCCAAACUCCUACGGGAGGCAGCAGUGGGGAAUAUUGCACAAUGGGCGAAAGCCUGAUGCAGCGACGCCGCGUGAGCGAAGAAGUAUUUCGGUAUGUAAAGCUCUAUCAGCAGGGAAGAUAAUGACGGUACCUGACUAAGAAGCACCGGCUAAAUACGUG